rnacentral:rRNA from 2 species
ACGUAGGUGGCAAGCGUUGUCCGGAUUUACUGGGUGUAAAGGGCGUGUAGGCGGAGCAGCAAGUCAGAAGUGAAAUCUCUGGGCUCAACCCAGAAACUGCUUUUGAAACUGUUGCCCUUGAGUAUCGGAGAGGCAGGCGGAAUUCCUAGUGUAGCGGUGAAAUGCGUAGAUAUUAGGAGGAACACCAGUGGCGAAGGCGGCCUGCUGGACGACAACUGACGCUGAGGCGCGAAAGCGUGGGGAGCAAACAG